rnacentral:rRNA from 1 species
UACAGAGGUCUCAAGCGUUGUUCGGAUUCAUUGGGCGUAAAGGGUGCGUAGGCGGUGGAGUAAGUCUGAUGUGAAAUCCCGGAGCUCAACUCCGGAACUGCAUUGGAUACUGCUUUACUUGAGUACUGGAGAGGAGAUUGGAAUUUACGGUGUAGCAGUGAAAUGCGUAGAUAUCGUAAGGAAGACCAGUGGCGAAGGCGAAUCUCUGGACAGUUACUGACGCUGAGGCACGAAGGCCAGGGGAGCAAACGGG